rnacentral:rRNA from 1 species
GAUGAACGCUGGCGGCGUGCUUAACACAUGCAAGUCGAACGAUGAAGCCCAGCUUGCUGGGUGGAUUAAUGGCGAACGGGUGAGUAACACUUGAGUAACCUGACCUUAACUCUGGGAUAAGCCUGGGAAACUGGAACUAAUACCGGUUAGGAGCGUCCACCGCAUGGGGGGUGUUGGAAAGAUUUAUCGGUUUUGGUUGGACUCGCGGCCUAUCGGCUGGGUGGUGAGGUAAUGGCUCACCAAGGGGACGAAGGGUAGCCGGCCUGAGAGGGUGACCGGCCACACUGGGAUAGGGACACGGGCCAGACUCCUACGGGCGGAAGCAGUGGAGAAUAUUGCACGAUGGGCGCAAGCCUGAUGCAGCGCCGUCGCGUGAGGGAUGACGGUCUUCCGGUUGUAAAGCUCUUUCAGUAGGGAAGAAGCGAAAGUGACGGUACCUGAAUAAGAAGCACCGGCUAACUACGUG